GCUUUUAGAAACGGAAAGAGACAGGAGCAACUGUGCUGAGUCAGACUGAAGGUCCACCUAGCCAAAAAGAGCCAUAAGAGGCUGCCUGGCAAAAAUCAAUAAUUUAGUUUCCAGGUUGGAAAAGAAACGCUGCUGGGGAGGAAUCCAAUGAAUUUAUUAAUGAGCUUGAUGUGAAGAACAACGGCAGAAAAUAACUUCCUGCUUGAAUGUCGAUAUUUUCUCCUUUUACUCUCCAAAGGGAUAGAAAGAAAUUCCCGGGGAUCAGAGGGAAGUGACCGUUUUGUCCCUCAGUCAUAUACCUGCAGAUAUUAUGGAAACAGGUCAGGCUCAAUGGUUACUUAUUAUGUUCAGAAUACAGUUUAGAAGACA